rnacentral:misc_RNA from 1 species
CCGACGAUUAGGGAAGAAUCCCUUCGAUCUAAGAAAGAUAAGGGAUUUUACACCCUAAGAGAUACGGAUUUUUAAUCUUAUAUGGGUCGUAGAGGAGCACUAUGAUGUGAGGAAGAUCUCAACAUGCUUUGAUUUCAAUGGGAUAGUCAUCAAGUUAGCGACAGCCGCGAAGAAGAAGACGAAAAAUUUCAAUCAUGCGGCAAAAACAGCUGUUGUUCUUUUAAAGCCUCCGCCUUGUUCGAUCGCUGCAUCGAAUGCUCAUCUACUGCCUGGAGGAAUCAGUAGAAGUCUUAAGUUGCUGGGAAUUGUGGAUUCUUGUGGAGUAAAGAAGAAUCAUGUCGAAGCCGAGGUCAACAAAGGCAGAACAAUUUAAUGCCAAGAUUCAUGGACUACGAGAGAUCUUCAAGAGGCUAGAUAGCAAGACACUUCCACUGCCAACUGGCAAUGAUGUUGCUAAUUAUUUACAGUGGUUCCAGGAUGUACUGCAAGGUCUUGUCAAAGAGGAAAGACCAAGUUUAGCAGAAGAUAAACAAAGAUUUGACAUCCAGAAAUACCCAGCAAUGGCUUAUGUUGACCUGUAUAAAGUAUUGAUCAAAAUGGCUAGAGUUGUAUCACACUGUGAACUUGGUAGUGAAGCAUUUGCCAAAAACAUCCUGGGCAUUAUGGCUUCUCUCAUCCCUUUCCUGCCCAAAGAAUGCAUAGAUUCUCUACCUCUGAAUGUUGCCAUGUUUCUGUCUGUGUGGCCUGAAACCGUCCAUGCCAACAUCUUUAAUCUACUAUGUGGAUACAUCAUGCCAGUCGUACUCCAUAUUUUAAAGUCACCAGAAGAGGAAUUAUCAUAUGCAACCUUAGCAUGUCCAUCAUUAGUGAUGACUGUUCUGCAGUACUGUCCAGACUCCAAACAACAAGCACAGUUUGUAGAGACACUGAUGUUGUACAAGAGAGAUGUGUGUCUGGAUCUUCUUGCUGUUGUUGCAUAUGGCCCACAACCAAUAUUGAAUGCUGCUGGUCAGAUUCUACUCCAUUAUUAUCCGCUGGGAUAUGCAGGUGGAGCAGAUGAUUGGCAGUUCAUGUACGAAUCCUGGUACCCCGAGAAAUGUCAAAACCUAAACUGCAUGGUACCCAUCCGUAACAACUGCGUCAAGAUUUGUUUCGAUGCUUCAUAUGCUGCUUCUAAAUGUGAACUGGCUCCACCAGUUUUCAUCUGCGCCAAAUGUUCAGAGCUUGCCUCCAAAGAGGUUCCUGAUUUUGACCAUUUCUUCCUGGACCUUCUUGACCCUCUUGGUCCGGUGCCGACAAAAUGCCAGGGAGAGACCUGCAAGGGUCAGGGUGUUCCUAGCGCUAUGAUGUGUUUUUCUCCUGAGUGUGCAAAACGAAAUAAGAAUCGUGGCACGGCAAUGUGCAUGGAGUGUAACGACCGUUACCAUGCCGAGGGUGAGGGAGCCAAUCAUGUUGUACAGUCGUUGUUCCCUGACCCAUGGUCGAUGAGUGGAUGUGAACAAGCCUAUGUGACUGAAGCUGUUUUGAGGUUACUCAGAGAAGCACAGCCAUGCCAGGCGACAAGAUAUGACGAAAUGGGCCUUGUAAGAGACAAAUUGCCUCUUGAACAAGGCGAAGAAGAAGUCGAUAAUGACAUCAACAAUCGACGCAUGCUCAGUCGCUUCGGUAUUUGGCUACUUGUCGGCAUCUGUGGCGACCCAACAAGGUGCGAGUCACCAGAGAGAAUGGGCCGACUCGUUGCUAUGGUGAUAGAAUGGAUCGACGUAACGACAUCUUUGAUGAGAGACUACGUUGGUGAGCUGCUCAAGAGGCUUGCCACACAACACGCCAGUAAAUGGUUGACCACUGUGCGUGACACCAAGAUGGAGCUGUUCUGCGCAUGUCUGUCUCCAUCACCCCCGGAAUAUGCCAAAGUGGGAGGUUGCUGGGACUCGCUGUCCGGUCAAGUUAACCAGCUGGUUGAAGGACUGCACAGAGUAUGUUGUUUGAUUCCCUUCCAACUUGUCGCCGAGGAGGUCUGGGAUGUGAUGAUGCCACAGUGGAUGGAUGCUAUCAAAAACAUCGUCCCCCAAGAUGAACUUUAUAAAUUUAAAGUAUUACUAUGCAAAUUGUUCGAUCCUUACCUGUCGCCCUACAAGAUGCCUUCAGAAGCCAGUCUUGGGUUCGUCAAGAGGAUGCUAGAGGAGUCUUCAGUCUACNGUGAACAAGUUAAGGCACUGACAUGGCUUCAGAUGUUAUCAACACUAGAAGUCGUCAUCAAACUUCACAUGUUGACGUCCAUGUUCAUUAAAGCUAUUCAAAAUCAAAUCGAGUUUGCCGAUGGAAUCUCAACUAUGUUCUCAUUCCUCUCUCAAGAAGACAUGUCAAUCGGCCAACGAGAUUCUGUGCAUUCUGCACAGAGUAGCUCAAUAGAUAAAGAGAGUACUGCGGAUACAGAAUCCUACACUGAACCCCCACAGACAGCAGAUAGCACCUGUUCACAGAAAGAAGAUAUUUCGAAUCUAUCGUCUUUUAUUAUCAUGCUGGACUUGCUGGUCAAACAGGUGCAGCUUCAACGCCAGCGUGAGAAUCGUAUCCUGAACUCCGUCGAUCGAGAAGAAAUCAAGAAACUCGUCAAACUGAUGCUCGAUGUUUCCUGGAGUGGAAUCCAUGGUGAUCACUCUGCCUCGUGCCAGCACUGUGAAAUGGUAGCCGUCUGGUUCAAGCUGGCUUUCAUGUUGUUCGAGGCGGUGUUCCCUCCUGAAGGCCAUGUAGAGGAUGAAGCUAACUUGAAUACUGUGGCUUUUGGGAAUGUUGUUCGACGUGGAAGCAGCUGCAGUAAGGCCGCCUCCUUCAGAAGCACAGGUUCCCGGCGCAGUGCGCAAAUCACAGAGACCAUAGACGAAGAAGAAGUGUUUGACGAAACAGCGGAGUCGCGUUCCAGGAGGGCAUCGGGAAAUAUAGAGCCAAGUGGGUCAGUCACCGAACAACAGAACGACCCCGAUGGGUCACAAGGUCAAGGGGACCAAGCUGACUCCAGCGAAUCAGCGGCUUCAUUCUCAGGCAUGCGCGGUGCUAAUGCUAGUAUUGGGUCGUGGAGGAGUGGGACGAGUAGUGCCACGUGGGGCGCAGUUUAUGAUAAUUACCCUCAACUGCAGCUUUUGAUUGGUUUGCUGAAGGAGUUGCCAAAGCAGCAGGACCAUGUUGUUCAGCUCAACAUGUUAAAGUGUGUCAAGAUUCUUGUUCUGAAGGGCGAAUACCUCAGGAUCGCGAUGGAAGCGGAACCAGACUUUCUUGCUUAUCUUCAGGAGAUCUUCUUUGUUCCUAAUCUCUGGGACAUGCUACGAGCCGAGCACUCCGUCCUCUCUGAAAUCUGCGUAGAAAUCCUUCUCCACUGUAUCUGUCUUCCGUUUGGAGCUGAGAAAUUAUGCGACAGCGUUGAGGGUGCCUUCACUGACGACGACUGGAGAGUGCGUUUUGCCGGCGUCGAGAAAUUCACCGUCAUCGCAAGAUUCCUCGAAAUCGAGAAGUUCAAAUCCAACAAAGUCGCAAUGUCAGCUCUAGCGCAUUGUUUCACGUACCUCGUAGGCGCCGUGGAAGACGUAUGUACCCCAGUGUCAACCAGGACCAUUGCCAUGCUUGAGACUAUCAAGUCAACGUCGCUCAAGACUCUUUACGCUUGCAUCGAACACCAAUACGACGCAGUCCCUAAAGACCGUCUUCUCUUGAUUCACACGUGUCGGAUCCUACACCGAACUCUUCCUCACUACACCCCUCUGUGUGGACAAUUCUUUAUUCGGCGAUUCAAGCAUCUUUUGAUUGAAAACGCGGAUUAUGUGUACGGGAGCCCUAAACCACGUUCUCCCGCGGGGGGUGGGGGAUCUGCGUAUGUCAGCCCUAUGAGUGAGGUGUCGACGCCUGUUGAAGCAGACGGUUCAAGGAAAGAGCGGUGGCGGACUUAUUCAUCAACUGGUAAAUCAAGCGGUUCUCGCUCGUCGCGUAUGCAGGACACGAUAGCAGUCAAUCGAUUCACCAAAGAACAAACACCUUUAUACCGAUGUAGUUACACUUUUAAACUCGCUGGCGAGAGAAUAAGCUACAAUAGACAGUUGUCCAAUUCAUCAGAAGGAAAUACGCCCACAGGCGGUCGUCAGCGUCGGACAGGAGGGUUUCAAGGUCAGCUUGGCCAUUCAACAGAGAUGACUGAUCGAAUAUUCCUCGGGGGACGAAUCCAGAUCGAUAACUUGUCGACCGUUGAAGAAGAAGCCGACUCGGAAAGGGCAGAUAAUGAUUCGACUAGAAUGUCGCACGUGUCACUGGAGUCUGCGCACAGCCAGGAGCCCAACCAAGGGGCUCCCCAAGACGCGAGUGACCUCGAAGCAGCUGCCACUCAUCAACUGGUUACCUUGGUGAUGGACUUCCUGGCCUACCCCGGAGCAAACAAGCUUAUAAUACCGUCCGAGUUUGUCAAGACAGAGAGUUACGAAGUGGUUCAAAUGAGCCAUUAUCUGGGAGUACUCAUGGGAUACGAUAUUAAAGUGGGAGAGUUCACUGGGGAUCCAAGAAGGCUAAGGUAUUUUCCCGUCUUCCACGCUUACAUGAGUGGAAUCGUACAAGUCUUGGACCAGAACCAGGAGUGGGGAGANGAAUUGAUCAACCUGACUCUCCAACUAUUGCUAUUCUGUGCUGCACCAAAGUCCCAGCGAAGAAUAGAUCAGCCAGAAUUCACUCUUAUUAGACUCAGUCAGCCAAUGAGACGCACUUGGUUAAUGACCAUAUUGAUCAUACUUUAUAAGUACCCAUUCUACCAUGACUCGCACCGGAGGGACACAAGGAACCUUAUUACUGUGGUGAUCAAUACAUUAGAGGCCCAGGACCAUAAGUGCCCGGGCCCUAGAAGUGCCAAACAUCAGCGACAGAGCCUUUCAUUGUUGGACUUGGAAAACAUGACUCCAGAGGAUGCUACUAGACCAGACACUCCCGGCAGUCCCCGCCAUAAUAAACGCGCCGAAGCAUGCCGAGNAUCUCCCACGUACAAACAGCGUCUAUCAACCUGCUCGUCUGCAAUAGAAGGCGACAAAGACGCCGACAAGAACCUCGAGGUUGAUGACCAGAAAACCCUUCCUCUCAUGGCGAUACACGAGACUUCAUUCGUUGGUUCUGACUCGUCACAGCAGAAGGCCACCACCAGUACUCCCCUCUUAGAAUUCUCCCCAGGGGGGUCCCGUGGGGGGAGCUCUAGUGCCUUGACGGAUGAAGAAAGGAACCCUGAGCGUCGACCUUUGAUUGAUGGAAGUUCAGAUAAGAAAGCGAAAAGAGCACAAGGACGCUCUUUUCGUGGUGAAUCAACGACUCGUGAUAAAAGAACUUACUUUUAUAACCUCGCCAGGCGAUAUAAAUCUGCUCUGACGUCGCUACACGUAUCCGUAGAUUCGACAUCGAGUCGAGACACCAAGGAAAGUAUAGAGGGCGUUCUCUCCAUUGGAGCAGAAGAAGGCCGCAAGACGUCUCGUCCCAAGCUCCUUGCAGGUGUGUCAAUGCGAUCAAUGGACCAUUCCCUCGAGAGAUCAUUGGAUACGUUCAUGGAUACCCCAGGAGAAAAAGAACCAGAGUUGCAAGAUAUUGACCUUGAUGUGUGCCCCGAGUGUGGAGCUACUCUGGAGGAGUUUGACGAAGAAACACUCAAUAUGGCUAUUGUAGCUUUGUCGACGUAUGUUCACCAGAGCCCUUCAAUGGCAAUGCCGUUUUUGCUGAGGAUGCUGGAAUGUGUUGGAAGGAAAUGCGUCCACCCAAUGUUCCCAUGGGAAGACAAAAGUGACGUCCUCAUACCAGGAUCCAGCACGGAAGUAGCCAAACAGUUUCUCAGAUGUGUCCUCAUCAAGUUGGCUCCAAAUGGUAUUUUUUCCGAACUGUUCCGAACAGUCUUCGACGACGAGAUUCUACUCAAAGCGAUUGCCUACGCACUGAACGACUACUCAGCAUUCGAUCAGAUGUCUCCUAUUGCAUAUCUGCUCGAGGAUAUCCUUGGAUUCAGGACUCUAAGUGACCGGAUAAUGCUUCUCUUGACUAACCUUUCGACUUACUUCAGACACGCGUCCAAAGAAACAACCAGCGCUUGGUCUAGCCAGCUGUCACACUUUGAGAACUUCUUCAGAAAACUUCCAUCGGCUCUUCCUGACAAUUGUGACAUUACUCCAGCGUUCCGGAUCAUGAGCGCUAUUCUAACGGCUGCGAACUCGUCCUUCAAGGUGCUGCUUCAUCCUUUUGGUCAAGUGCUGACAUUCGGUAUCAACAAAACCUCUUUCCAACUUCAAGAUCUUCUUGAUUUGUGCUCAAAAUGCAACGAAACUUUCCCUAAGGAAAGAGACAAGCUGUACCUCACUCGCAUCGUCGUACAAGAAAUGAUGCAAGCAGUUCGCUUUAGAUCCUACCUGCCUGACUCUAAUCUGCAUUCUUUACUUCAGGUCUUGGCUAUAGAUGCUGGUAGUAGAAUCACCUUUGGUGGUGAUAGGGACAAUGUGGAGUACUCGUUACCCUUUGGGGCGCGUACACGUGCGAUGGAUUGUAUACAAAGCUACUUGAUAGAAAUCGUCGAGUUCAUCCGCGACUGGCACUUUACCUCGCGUUCCAGCAACGAAAACAAACGCCUUAGUGAACCAAACCUGAACUUCGACACCGUACCUAUUCACCUCAAAGCAGGGAUGUCCCAACUGGCCGCCCUGGAGCUUGCUAAGCAGCCCAAGUCGAGUAAACUGUACACCAAGUCACUAACUUGGCUGAAAAACCCUCCAAGCGCCAUCCAGUUAGGACCUAAAGAACUCCAAGAUUGCGUGAGCAACAUGAGACUGCUGACGUGGAUUUUACAGGGAUCGCUGUCGCACGUGGUCAAUUCCAAAAUGGCGCAUGCGUCAUGUCAGCCAAUAGCUUUGGAGGAAAAUGUGAACAUUGCUAAAUAUGUCUUGAUUGUUCUGCACAGCUUUGCUGAACCACUAAAAGACUCUCUGAAAAUCACGGCCUUGUAUCAUGCGUUUCACUUGUGCGAGCUAUGGACCCUGUACUGUGACAUCACUAAACUUCAAGGUGAAUACAACGAGCAGUCUUCGCCUAUCGUGCUCGAGUUCUGGGGAAUAGUUACUCCUGGGAUACUGAACCUGCUAACCAAAGCCAAAGAGGUACGACAUGGAUACAUAAAGACAGGAUGAGUGACUUAGUAGGAGAUAAUUUCCUGAAUCUUCUUGAAGCGUUACAAGAGUGCAACUGCACGUCACUUCCUAAGUUGUAUCCCUUGUGGCAUUCUAUUCUGACCUUUUGUUUCUCGCUGAAGGGGGUG